rnacentral:rRNA from 1 species
GACAGAGGGGGCAAGCGUUGCUCGGAAUUACUGGGCGUAAAGGGCGCGUAGGCGGGAUGGCAAGUCGGUCGUGAAAUCCUUCGGCUCAACCGAAGAACGUCGAUCGAUACUGCUGUUCUUGAGGGUUGCAGAGGAGACUGGAAUUCCCGGUGUAGCGGUGAAAUGGGUAGAGAUCGGGAGGAACACCGGUGGCGAAGGCGGGUCUCUGGGCAAUUCCUGACGCUGAGGCGCGAAAGCGUGGGUAGCAAACAGG